rnacentral:rRNA from 1 species
AACGAACGUUAGCGGCGCGCUUAACACAUGCAAGUCACACGAGAAAGGGCUUCGGCCCCGGUACAGUGGCGCACGGGUGAGUAACACGUGGGUAAUCUUCCCUCGGGCGGGGGAUAACAUUCCGAAAGGAGUGCUAAUACCGCAUAAGACCACGGCUUCGAAAGGAGCUGAGGUCAAAGCCGGCCUCUAUUCAUAAGCUGGCACCUGAGGAUGAGCCCGCGGCCCAUCAGCUAGUUGGUAGGGUAAUGGCCUACCAAGGCAAAGACGGGUAGCUGGUCUGAGAGGAUGAUCAGCCACACUGGAACUGGGACACGGUCCAGACUCCUACGGGAGGCAGCAGUGGGGAAUCUUGCGCAAUGGGCGAAAGCCUGACGCAGCGACGCCGCGUGAGUGAUGAAGGCCUUCGGGUUGUAAAGCUCUGUGGGGAGAGACGAAUAAGUCGGAGCUAAUACCUCCGGCGAUGACGGUAUCUCCUUAGCAAGCACCGGCUAACUCUGUGCCAGCCGCCGCCGUAACAC